UGACGAUUAUGAUGAUAUGAGGGGUGGAGCCAUACCACUAGAUCCGACACAAUAUUGAUAUUAAUAAGAUCCGUAUUUUCCUCCUCUGUUCCCGAACUCCGGCAGUGUUACAGCACAACACUACCGCUGCUACCUUCUUCCCAUCGCUCGUUACAUACACUGCUAGAAUGUUGACACAUCAUCGUACCUCACAAUUUCGCUCAACACCACAACAAUACACAACUAUUAAUAAGUUGGACUAAAAUGUAGUUAUACUCUCCGUGAAAACACUGCCGCUGUUAUCUCUGCCGAAGGCGUUGACAGUUUAGCGUUACAGAACACCACACCACAUUAACAGCUCGCAAAAAAACCCCACACCACUGCUCGUAAAAACACACACAAACACGCACACACACACACACAAACACACGCGCACACACACAAACAUACAUACACACAUACUCACGCACACCUCUCAGCAUCACAUUAUAAAACACCAAAUUUCACAUCGCAACAACAUAACAAUUAAUAAGUUAAACUGAAACCAAAGGAGUACUACAAUAAAAGAUUACAGCUGUAACGUCCUUCCAUACACGAACGGGAACAGUGACACCGCGCAUAACUACACAACAUUUGUUAAGUUCUUCUAAAAACUAUAGGAGUACUGCAACUCGACCGUUAUAUUUAAUUAUUUCUUUUUCUGUAACGCUCUUCUCCAAGUACUGGCGCAGAAAUGUUGACAAACCAUUAUACCACACCAUAAACUG
rnacentral:lncRNA from 1 species